rnacentral:SRP_RNA from 1 species
ACCCGAUGUGGUGGCGCAUGGCUGUAGUCCCAGCUACUCGGGAGGCUGAGGUGAGAGGACUGCUUGACCCCAGGAGUUCUGGGCUGUAGUACACUCUGUUGAUCAGGUGUCCACACUAAGUUCAGCAUCAAUAUGGUGACCUCCUGGGAGCCGGGGACCACCAGGUUGCCUAAGGAGGGGUGAACCGGCCCAGGUCGGAAAUGGAGCAGGUCAAAACUCCCGUGCUGAACAGUAACGGGAUCGCACCUGUGAAUAGCCACUGCACUCCAGCCUGGGCAACAUAGUGAUACCCUGUCUCU